GGUUAAGCGACUAAGCGUACACGGUGGAUGCCCUGGCAGUCAGAGGCGAUGAAGGACGUGCUAAUCUGCGAUAAGCGUCGGUAAGGUGAUAUGAACCGUUAUAACCGGCGAUUUCCGAAUGGGGAAACCCAGUGUGAUUCGUCACACUAUCGUUAACUGAAUACAUAGGUUAACGAAGCGAACCGGGGGAACUGAAACAUCUAAGUACCCCGAGGAAAAGAAAUCAACCGAGAUUCCCCCAGUAGCGGCGAGCGAACGGGGAGCAGCCCAGAGUCUGAAUCAGCUUGUGUGUU
rnacentral:rRNA from 1 species